CCUACGGGUGGCAGCAGUCGAGAAUCAUUCACAAUGGGGGAAACCCUGAUGGUGCGACGCCGCGUGGGGGAAUGAAGGUCUUCGGAUUGUAAACCCCUGUCAUGGGGGAGCAAAUUAAAAAGAUAGUACCACAAGAGGAAGAGACGGCUAACGCGGUGCCAGCAGCCGCGGGAAGACAGAGGGCUCACGCGUUGUUCGGAAUCACUGGGCGUAAAGCGGGCGUAGGCGGUUUCGUAAGUCGUGUGUGAAAGGCGCGGGCUCACCCCGCGGAGGGCCCAGGUUACUGCGAGACUAGAGUACUGGAGGGGGAACCGCACUUCUCGGUGUAGCCGU
rnacentral:rRNA from 1 species